CUGCGAUUCUCACUGUGAAAACCACAGUGAGAAGAUGCUGACGUCCAUAGGAAAGCAUUGAGUAUGGGCGGUUUGAAUGCACGUGCGACUCUUGCCACGCAUGCGCAUUUGGCGCUGACGUCAGCAGGAGGAGGAGAGUUCCCCAGUGCUGAGGGAGCCCAAUGCUGGAGAAAGGUAAGUGGCUGAAGGGGGGGUAUGACCCUAU